AACGAACGCUGGCGGCAGGCCUAACACAUGCAAGUCGAACGCACCGCAAGGUGAGUGGCGCACGGGUGAGUAACACGUGGGAAUGUACCCUUUGGUUCGGAAUAACGUUUGGAAACGAACGCUAAUACCGGAUGAGCCCUGUGGGGGAAAGAUUUAUCGCCAAAGGAGCAGCCCGCGUCUGAUUAGCUAGUUGGUGGGGUAAAGGCCUACCAAGGCGACGAUCAGUAGCUGGUCUGAGAGGAUGAUCAGCCACACUGGGACUGAGACACGGCCCAGACUCCUACGGGAGGCAGCAGUGGGGAAUAUUGGACAAUGGGCGGAAGCCUGAUCCAGCCAUGCCGCGUGAGUGAUGAAGGCCUCGGUUGUAAGCUCUUUCGUCACGCGACGAUGAUGACGGUAGCGUGAGAAGAAGCCCCGGCUAACUUCGUGCCAGCAGCCGCGGUAAU
rnacentral:rRNA from 1 species